rnacentral:lncRNA from 7 species
AAAAACAUCUCAUAAGACUCACCCCGACAAGAGCCAAGCUUUACAAGAGCCAUGGGGACCACUUCGCCAGCACCUUGCAGGACUGACCCUUUCCAAGCUAUGGAGCCCACUAUGGAUUUUAGUCCUGGAGGACACCUGCCCUUGCAGCCCCACAAUGGGACACAGCUUGGAGGACAGACAUCCCCUCAGGUUGGAGGGUUGGAAAAAUUUCUUCUCUUUAGGAGUAGUGAAGCAUUGGCACAGCUGCCCAGGGAGGUGAUGGAGUCACCACUCCUGGAGGUGUUAAGAACUACAGAGAUGUGGCACUGAGAACAGUUCCAGGAGUGUCAGGAAAACUGGUGAAGAGCAGUCAUGGAGAACAGCAGUCGGAACCCUCAGAUGUCACUGCUGUGCCUCAGCCCCACGCGCACAUACCUCGAAUGGAGAACUCGAUGGGGUGGGAACCAUCUGACAUAAAGGAUGCUCUCCCAGGCGAGGCACUGAGUUAUGAAUUUGGAGUAAUGCUGGUUGUGGUUACAGGCAGCCUCAGCUUACAGGAAUUUAAAAGAAUAAUAGUAAAAAUAAAACCCCAAAUCCAAAAACCUCCCCUGGAAAGGCGCAGUUUCCCUUCAUUCUGCCCUCAGGGAUUGCACGGAUCUGGGCCCAGAGGGAUCACCAACUUCAUGAAAAACAAAAAAAUAAAUUAAAUCCUGAGCUGCUGAUCUGAGUAAGGCAGCAGGGCAUCUCCUGCCUUCUGGAGCAGCACCAGUCCAAAGCGGUUCCCAGCACAUCAGUCCCUGCGUGGGGAUAAAAGCAGCCAGGGACAGCAUGGAUCUGUGCCCAUUGGGGCCACCGGGCAGCUCCGCAGUUUCCUGCAGCACCAUAAGGCCGCUGCCAGCUACUCAAAGAGAGAGCACUACAGAGAAACAGAGAACUUCCUCUGCACUGAAAUGUUUGGAGAGGUGAGCGACGCUAUCAGUACAUCUCUGGGCAACGUGCAGAUGGAUCAGGGGAGCUUAACAGGAUCCAAGCAUUUCUCCAGAAUCGACAAUCAAUCCUUCUUCCAACUUAAAAUAAAAGUUAAUAAAU